rnacentral:RNase_P_RNA from 1 species
GCAGGCGGCCGGACGAUCGCUGCCAGACCCGAGCCUCGGCAAGGGAAUGGGGGAGGAAAGUCCGAACUCCGCAGGGCAGUGUGCCGGAUAACGUCCGGGAUGCGCGCUUCAAGGCGCGUAGACGGCCAGUGCAACAGAAAAUAGACCGCCUUCUCGCAAGAGACGGUAAGGGUGAAACGGUGGGGUAAGAGCCCACCGCGUUGGUGGUAACACCAACGGCACGGUAAACCCCACACGGAGCAAGACCAAAUAGGCAGGGAGAGCGCCGCAACCACUUCUGCGGCGAGCGCGCGACGGCCCGUCACGCCCAGGAUAGUGGAGCUUGUACCGAAACCUGCGGGUAGGUUGCUGGAGCCAUGCCGUAAGGCAUGGCCUAGAGGAAUGAUCGUCUAAAACAGAAUUCGGCUUACGGGCCGCCUGCACAA